rnacentral:lncRNA from 1 species
CCAAUGUGCUGGAGUCCACAGACUGUUCCCUGAAUGCAGCCCAGCUUGGGAGAAAGCCAUUGUGAGCGGGCCCAGGUGCAGCAGCUGGUUGGGCGCUAUGUGGGUAUGGAGGUCUGCAAGGCUUCUUGAAGGACAGCGUUAGGGAUCAUAUAUCUUCUGAGCUCCAGACCCACAUCCAGGACGUCCUGUGGACAAUUCUCCCACAGUGCAUCUUGCCCCACCUUGUCCCCUGCAUUUUAAAACCUUGAUCCAGGGGCCAUGUCCCAUCCCCAAGUACAUGGGCAGCCCUGCCUUCCUGUGGACCUGAUAUCCAUCUGACCACUGUGUUCAUCCCCCAGAUUUGUUUCUGGUUUAUCAAGGAGACACAGUGACCCACGGCGUGGUCAGCUUCUGCUUGGCUGAACUUCCCUGCGAGGGCUUAACUCCUAGUGCU